CAGGACGAACGCUGGCGGCGUGCCUAAUACAUGCAAGUCGAACGGUCUUUCUAUGGAAGCUUGCUUCCACUGAGAAGAUAGUGGCGAACGGGUGAGUAACACGUGGGCAACCUGCCUCAUAGAGAGGAAUAGCCUUCCGAAAGGGAGAUUAAUACCUCAUAACAUUGCAGUUUCGCAUGGAACAGCAAUUAAAGGAGUAAUCCGCUAUGAGAUGGGCCCGCGGCGCAUUAGCUAGUUGGUGAGGUAACGGCUCACCAAGGCGACGAUGCGUAGCCGACCUGAGAGGGUGAUCGGCCACAUUGGGACUGAGACACGGCCCAGACUCCUACGGGAGGCAGCAGUGGGGAAUAUUGCACAAUGGGGGAAACCCUGAUGCAAGCAACGCCGCGUGAGUGAUGACGGCCUUCGGGUUGUAAAGCUCUGUCUUCAGGGACGAUAAUGACGGUACCUGAGGAGGAAGCCACGGCUAACUACGUGCCAGCAGCCGC
rnacentral:rRNA from 1 species